GAUCAUUAAUUAAUCGCGAAAUGCGUCGUGCCAUGUAAGACUCACGGCCUCCUGGGCCGUGGGGACGGGUCCCCCGUGUGGGGAUACCGCCGCAUGAGCCUUCGCCUCCCUUCGAUUACAUCCCAUCUGUGAACACUUCCACCGUUGCUUCCGUGAGCCUGCUGCUGACUCCUUCUGGGGGUGAGCGCCUGAAAAGCCCUGGCUCUGCUAGGGGCGCACGGCAAUGCUACAAUCACCCUGGUUUUAUGUAUCUCCAGUCUGAGUGGUGAAACACAUCAAACAAGUUAAAACUUUCAACAACGGAUCUCUUGGUUCUCGCAUCGAUGAAGAACGCAGCGAAAUGCGAUAAGUAGUGUGAAUUGCAGAAUUCAGUGAAUCAUCGAAUCUUUGAACGCACAUUGCGCCUCCUGGUAUUCCGGGAGGCAUGCCUGUUCGAGCGUCAUGAACAACAUCCUCAAGCAUUCUUGCUUGGUUGUGGAGGAAGAGGGUCCUUGGACCGUCCCCUCUGGAAUUUCUCAGCAGAGACCGCAACAGCCUCAGGUGUGAUAACAUUACCUCGCUUGAGGGCUGCAGUGGGCUCCCGCUGCGUUGAUCCCCCCAGCAAUACUAUGUUUGACCUCGGAUCAGGUAGGGAUACCCGCUGAACUUAAGCAUAUCAAUAAGCGGAGGAAAAGAAACCAACAGGGAUUGCCUUAGUAACUGCGAGUGAAGCGGCAAAAGCUCAAAUUUGAAAUCUGGUACCUUUCGGUGCUCGAGUUGUAAUUUGGAGAGGCAACUUCGGAGAGGGCGUUGGCCUAAGUUCCUUGGAACAGGACGUCACAGAGGGUGAGAAUCCCGUGCUUGGCCGACUGUCCCUCUUCAUGUGAAGUGUCUUCGACGAGUCGAGUUGUUUGGGAAUGCAGCUCAAAAUGGGUGGUAAACUCCAUCUAAGGCUAAAUAUUGGCGAGAGACCGAUAGCGCACAAGUAGAGUGAUCGAAAGAUGAAAAGCACUUUGAAAAGAGAGUUAAAAAGUACGUGAAAUUGUUGAAAGGGAAGCGCUUGAGACCAGACUUGGUGAUUGGUGAUCAGCGGUUGCUUCUGCUCCGUGCACUUGCCUUUUACCGGGCCAGCAUCAGUUACGGCGGUGGGAUAAAGGUCCAGGGAAUGUGGCUCCC
rnacentral:rRNA from 1 species